AACUUCCGCUUUUUGGAUUGUCUCUUCCUUAGAAUGUUAGCUCCUUGAAGACAGGAACUGUUUCUGACUUUGUAUAUGUUUCCCCAGCACAUUGCUUGGUAUACAGUAGCUGCUCCUGAUGUUCUGCUCUCAUCAAUAUCAUAGAUCAGAUAUCCCAGACAGAAGGUCAGGACAUUGAUGAGAUGAAGAAUGUCCAGAGGAAGACAGCCAAAAUGGUCAAGCAAGGGGCCCGAGUCCAUGACGUACGAAGAGCAGUUGAAGGAAUGAGGCUUGUUUAGUUUGGAUAAAAGAAACCUCAGGGAGGACGUGAGAGCUGUUUUCGAGUAUCUGAAGGGCUAUCUUGUGGAGGUGCAGAGGGAAGGACUUGGACCCAUGCAUGGAAAUGGCAAAAAGAUCAUACAAUAAAACUGGUGGUGAGAUGCAGACAAGAGAAAAGUGAAAUGUAUAGCUGGGAUCUGUUAGGAGAACAUUCCAUAUGGCUAACUAAUGACGUGUUGAAUAUACCAAGGGCAAACAUCUAGAAAAGGAGUUCCCAGGGAUUAUCAUACAAAAAGUGUUACUAGGAUAAUCUCUCAUUCAUCAUGCGAUGUCUCUACUCAAAAAUCUCCCUAUUGUCUCCCGGGUAAAAGAUCAAAAUCUAUUUCUAGCAUUUGAAGAUCUCCACAAUUCUUUUUCAUCAUACCUUUCCAGCCUUCUUGGAAGACAGACCACAACUUUGAACCCAAGAGCUUUGGGAAUAGGAAUGUCCUCAAUGCCACUGGACCUGCCUUUGAUUUAUCCCUGCUAAGUUUUUUACCUCAUCAGUGAGGUGAAAACCUUGUGGAGAAGGAGAUCACCUUCCUUAUCAUCACCAACAACAACUACCUACCAAUUGCCGCUAAAAGGUAGAGGAGCAUAAAAGCUGUAAGUGUGGCAUCUCCACCCCCCCCAGACCACCAAAGUGACUUCUAGCCCUCCCAGUCAUCAUCUGUGGAGAGGGGCCCAGUCAUGCCCACCAAUUGUCAACCAACUGCCAUCCAUAUAGCAGGCAAGUCAGCCUAGCUGAAGUAGUGGGGCACUCUUGAGAGAGAGACAGCUUGGAGCAUGAGCCAGCCAAAUCAAACCCCUCCCCCACUACCUUGACCACAAUCUCCUGUCAAAUGAGAGAUGGCCCAGUACUUUAAUCCCAGGAGCCUUUGGGAAAGUAAUGUUGCUGGACUAAUGCCUGCAGCCAUCCUGGGAAGCAACCCCUGUGGAGAUGUUGUCUGGAAACUGCUCCUUCCUGCAGGUACUACAGUCACAUUUAUGAAAAGAAAAUUCUUGCCACCCAAGUCAUUGCCACUGCCUAAUGGUUCAACAUCAGAAACUGAUGGGAUUUUAUCAGUGCAAAUGACAUUUACAAAGAGGCCUUGCCAUUUGAUUUGUGACUUCACCUGAAGAGGCGUAGGACCUUUUUCAUGCGACUUGCAGCUACAAUCUUCCCAAUGCCUCAUUUUCCCCAUCAGAAUGGGAGCAUGGUUUGUCUUUUCUGUUUGCAUCCUCAAGGCUUAGCACAGUUCUCUGCAUGUAGUAAAUGCUCAAGAAAUGCUUCAUUCGUUCAUUCUCUGUGCCUCUU